rnacentral:rRNA from 1 species
UACGUAGGGACCGAGCGUUGUCCGGAAUCAUUGGGCGUAAAGAGCGUGUAGGCGGCCACUUAAGUCCUGCGUGAAAUCUUGCGGCUCAACCGCAAGCGGUCGUGGGAAACUGGGUGGCUAGAGUGCGGGAGAGGAGAGUGGAAUUCCUGGUGUAGCGGUGGAAUGCGCAGAUAUCAGGAAGAACACCCGUGGCGAAGGCGGCUCUCUGGAACGCCACUGACGCUGAGACACGAAAGCGUGGGUAGCAAACAGG